CAGAGAGAUUGUCUUUCUGAAGUUACUUCCUAUGAAAUACCUGAGAUUCAGAGGGAAGUGUCUCUCUGGAGACACUGAGAUGUUGGGGGAAGCUGCUGGGUAUGGAGUACUGCUGGCUGCUGUGUGCUGCAGGAACCUGUCUGAUCUCCAGGAGCUGAGUGCUGGGGUAGCUCCAUGCACUAAAGGAGGUGGAUGCUUGAGAACCACUGGAAAAACUGUGCUGCAAGAACCUUCAAAACCAGAACACCAGAACCCGGAUGGAAAGCUCCUUCCUGUUUCAAUGUCUCUCCAUGGCUUUCUACUGAUAAAAUUUAACGUUGUGCCAGCUGGCAAAGGGAAAAAGGAUUUAAAGGGCUCAGAUUCAUUUUUGUAGAGCAGGCAAUGAAGGAUGUAUUUGGAACUUAGAGGCAAUACAUUGAUAAUUGGUAUGCCUUAAAAGAUUGGCCAUUAUACUCUCUUACGUAUAAGCAAUUCAUGGGGGAUACUUGUCCCAGGGCCCCACAUUCUGGCUCAGCAUAUCUAAGCUUAGUCCUGGAAUUCAUAGUUUUGAGAGAUGCUCCAGAUCAUUUUGAUGAUCAUCUACCAUAUUCUCCUAAUUGGUGACCUAAUUCCCUUCUUAUUACUGUAUCAUUUACUUUCACACAGCAGAUUUCCCAGUCUGUUUUCUGCUGCUAUAGCAAAAUGACCAAGGCUGGGUACCUAUAAAGAAAAAGGUUUAACUUUGUUUACAGUUUUGGAAGAUGAAAAUCCUGCAUUGGGACAGUCCCAUCUCUUUGGUCUCUGGUGAAGUCACCCUUGGCUGGGUCAUCACAUAUAGAGAAGCAGAAAGGAUGUGACUUUGUUUAGAAGAAGCCAAUUAUGAGAGGUGGUUUUGCUUUAUAAUAAUCUACUCUCACAAGAAUGAAUUGACUUCAAAAGUCCAGCAUUAAUCCUUUCCUAAGGCAAUGUUCCCAGUGACCUGAUUACAUUACACUGGACCCCACCUUUUAAGGGUUUAGUAUAUGGACUUUUGGGGAAACUACCACAUCCAAGCCAUAGCAGUAACCAAGUGAUAAUAUUUAAAUAUAAGUUAGAAUAUAGCACUCCAUUAUUCAAAAUUCUCAGUGACUCCUCCUCUCACUACAG
rnacentral:lncRNA from 1 species